rnacentral:rRNA from 1 species
AACGGUUAGAGGAAGAUCCUGGCUCAGGACGAACGCUGGCGGCGUGCAUAAUACAUGCAAGUCGAACGCUUUUUCUUUCACCGGAGCUUGCUCCACCGAAAGAAAAAGAGUGGCGAACGGGUGAGUAACACGUGGGUAACCUGCCCAUCAGAAGGGGAUAACACUUGGAAACAGGUGCUAAUACCGUAUAACACUAUAUUCCGCAUGGAAGAAAGUUGAAAGGCGCUUUUGCGUCACUGAUGGAUGGACCCGCGGUGCAUUAGCUAGUUGGUGAGGUAACGGCUCACCAAGGCAACGAUGCAUAGCCGACCUGAGAGGGUGAUCGGCCACACUGGGACUGAGACACGGCCCAGACUCCUACGGGAGGCAGCAGUAGGGAAUCUUCGGCAAUGGACGAAAGUCUGACCGACAACGCCGCGUGAGUGAAGAAGGUUUUCGGAUCUAAAACUCUGUUGUUAGAGAAAACAAGGAUGAAAGAAAAAUGUUCCUCCCUUGACGGUAUCUAACCAAAAGCCCGGUUACUACGUGCCCCGGCCGC